rnacentral:rRNA from 1 species
UACGGAGGGUGCAAGCGUUAAUCGGAAUUACUGGGCGUAAAGCGUGCGUAGGCGGUUCGUUAAGUCUGUUGUGAAAGCCCCGGGCUCAACCUGGGAAUGGCAAUGGAUACUGGCGAGCUAGAGUGUGUCAGAGGAUGGUGGAAUUCCCGGUGUAGCGGUGAAAUGCGUAGAGAUCGGAAGGAACACCGGUGGCGAAAGCGGCGCGCUGGAUCCCUACUGACGCUGAGGCACGAAAGCCAGGGGAGCAAACGGG